rnacentral:tRNA from 1 species
AGCUUUAUAGUCAAUAAUGAUAUUAGACUGCAAUUCUAAAGGAGUAAUAAUACUAAAGCUU